GGGAAUAUUGCGCAAUGGGCGAAAGCCUGACGCAGCGACGCCGCGUGGGGGAUGAAGGCCUUCGGGUUGUAAACCCCUUUCGGCAGGGACGAAGCGAGAGUGACGGUACCUGCAGAAGAAGCGCCGGCUAACUACGUGCCAGCAGCCGCGGUAACACGUAGGGCGCAAGCGUUGUCCGGAAUUAUUGGGCGUAAAGAGCUCGUAGGCGGUUUGUCGCGUCUGCUGUGAAAACUCGGGGCUUAACCCUGAGCUUGCAGUGGAUACGGGCAGACUAGAGGUAGGUAGGGGAGAAUGGAAUUCCCGGUGUAGCGGUGAAAUGCGCAGAUAUCGGGAGGAACACCGGUGGCGAAGGCGGUUCUCUGGGCCUUACCUGACGCUGAGGAGCGAAAGCGUGGGGAGCGAA
rnacentral:rRNA from 1 species